UAUUCUCUCUUUCUCUCUCUCUCAUUUUCCUUGGCCCUCCCUAUUUGUGUUGGGUGACCCUCCUAUAGGUUUCCCAUCUUUGAAUUCCAAAAGAAUCUGGAGUGCAUUGUUCUGUCACUAUAUAUGGGUCUUUCCCAACAGAUUAUGAAUUUGUAAUGGGCAAGAACUGGGAAUGCUAUUGGCAACCCUCAUCCACUGGCCCCCAACACCCAGAGCAGUGCUACUGCUGUCAGACCUGGGGUCCUGUGCUAAUCCCAUCAAGCCUUCCUCUCCACUUCCAUUAGCUCUGGUCUCCCAAAUCAUUUCUCAUCUUUUGGGCUCUAAUUUCCACAUGACCUCAUAUGUCCUUUUUCUGAUGCUGAAUCUCACUCCUCCCCAACUUCUGACACCCUUCACGGUGACCUCACACCAUCCCCUCUACACCUUACUUCUCUGAUUCUCUUUACCUUCUUAUUACAACGGAUAACUGGUUCUCCCGAGGACAUAUUUCUUUUGCACAUGUUGGCCAUUUUCUCUCCCACACUCCUUGUACCAUGUGCCAACAAGCAGAGUGCACAUUGUGGACCGAAUGUGACCAUCCUCAAAUUCAUAUGUUAAAACCUAACCCCCAAUGUGAUGGUGUUAGGAGGUGGGGCCUUUGGGAGAUGAUUAGGUCAUGAGGGUGGAGCCCUUAUGAAUGAGAUUAGUGCCUUUGUAAAAGACCCCAGAGGGAAAAAAAAUAAAAGACCCCAGAGAGCUCCCUCUGCCCCUUCCACUUUAGGAGGACACAGGAGAAGAUAGCCACUCAUGAACCAGGAAGCUAGUUCUCACCAGAUACCAAAUCUGCUCAUGCUUGAUCUUAGACUUCCUGCCUUUAGAACUGUGAGAAAUAAAUUUUGGUGUUUAUAAGCCACCCAAACUAUGGCAUCUUUGUUAUAGUAGCCUAAGUACUGGAGGUAUUCUCAUUACUGCUUUCAGCCCACUUUCUCGCCCCUCCUCAGCUCUCCUCAUCAGCUCUGACUCUCAGGGCGUCAGACUAUAUCCCACUCUCUAGUCAACUGUAUCCUUCUUCCAACACACACCUUUAUUCCUUAGGAUUAUGGGCCCACAUUUCUCUCUCCAACACUACUUCUAUCAUACUUUCUGAUGAUUGCUUUAUUCUCAUGGGUUGUAUUUUCAAUAUCUGGUCUUGGCUUUUUUUGAAUUAUUCUCCUCCAGUGACCUUGCCCUGACCCUACCAAAUGGGUUCCAUGGUCAGUCCUCAGAUUUGGUCCCUGCUGAUAACUGUGACCUGUCCCUGUAUCUCAGUCUCAGCACUAUUAUCAUUACUAUUAUUGUUUUUCUAGAAUUUGUUGAGUUGGACAACUCAUAAGUUGGGUAACCGUAGGCAAAUUAGUUACCUUCUUUCAACCCCUUUUAUUCUAUCCAGGGGCUGUUGUGUGGGGAGUUGAGAUCAGAUACUGGUGAUAGGAUGCAGGGAAGAGAACCAAGAGGCGCUGAACAAUGAAGGAAUUAAGGGCUUCGAAUUAGGCCAUGAAGAAAAGGGUUAAUGAAGCCUAGGCGACAGAGGAGUGUAGAACAAUAGUCUAUUCUGGAGGAAAAGGAUUGCAGACCCAAUUCUCAGAAGGUGGACACUGGCUAAGAUAUAGUAAAUAGAUUAUAAAUUGGAGACGUGCAGGGCCAGCAGGGAUGGAGCAGAGAGAUCAAAAUCAGUCUGGGAGAUCCUGGGAGAAGAAAAUGUUCCAGAGCACACAGUAGGGCUGAAUAAAGAGUUGUUGAAUAAGUGAAUAAGUUAUACGAAUCCAGGCUUAGAAUUUUAUUGUUUUCUCAACCUGUUUUGGAGUGAGAAGUGCAAGGGUGUCACUUUUUAGGCAGGUAUGGGGGUGGGGAAGGGCAAGGCUGCUGCUGGUCUAUUCCUUAUACAAAUUAGAAGUGGCUCCAGAUCUGGGCCCUUAAGAAAAAAAAGGGCAUCUACUUUUUCAGGGUUUAAGCAGCUUUAUGUCAACAAGGGUGGCCUGGAUUUUAGCACCCCUGUCUUUGUGUCUAGACUGAGGGCAGGUGGGUAAUAAUAUGAUGAGGUUCUUAAGUCUGUUCUUGAAAUCUCCCAAGUUGUCUUUAUACUCUUUGGUUUUGGGCUCCUGUAAUAAAUAUCUGAAGCCAAAAAUUCACCUCUUAACCUGUCCGCUGUAAACUCCCAUUUGCUGUAACAGUUGGGUCCAAGGUCUAGUUUGCAAUGAUGUGUGUGACUGACUGGGAGUGGGACUAUGUGAUUUCUCUUUCUUGCCAGGGGAAAGUAAAGGAAAGUGACGUGGGUCUGUGACGGACUCCUCUUCACUCGCUGUGUCAGACAUCGUUAUAGACACUUGCCUCGUUUUCCGUCCUCACAGCAAUCUUCCAGGGCAAAUAGUAAUUGCCAUUACUAUUGCUAAGGUCCAAAGAGAGCCUACAAAUUGGGCCAGGCACUGAGUAAGGAUUGGAGUUAAGACUCAAGCUCAGGGAUUUUACUGCGCCUUGUUGUUGCUGUGUUUUCUUCUGGUAAAAUACAUGGCUAGAUGUAAAACUCAGGGAAGUUAGGUACUGUUUUAUUUUUUUCACCUUUGUAUCCUUCCUAGAGCUUAGCAUCAUCCCCAAUGCAAAGAGAAUGCAAAUGAAGAUUUGUGGGGUUGAAUUGAAUGUGGAUGAGCCAGGGCUGCUGACCAGCCUCUCCCUCUCUUCCUACAGUCAUCCCGCCCUGGGCAUUAGUCAUCAAAAGGAUAUCUUCAUAAUUUGUCCUUCCAGCUUCCCUUUAUAAGGAAAUGCUUUUCCUUAUGGGAAUCUACCUGAUCCAAUGAGCUGUAAUCAUUUGACCCCCACAAGGGAUAUCUGGAAACACCUUUCCUAGUGGCUCCCUUUGAUCCUGGGGGCUGACCAUUUCCUGCUUGCUCUCACUUGGUUCUCAUAUCCAUAGGCAUAUCCAAAGAUUCUUGAGAAAGGUAAUUUUUUUUUGGUCUUUUUUGUCUUUUGAGGGCCACAUCCGCAGCAGAUGGAGGUUCCCAGGCUAGGGGGGUCAAAUCGGAGCUGUAGCUACUGGCCUACACCAUAGCCACCGCAAAGCUGGAUCUGAGACCAUCUGUGACCUAUGCCACAGCUCGUAGCAAAACUGGAUCCCUGACACACUGAGCAAGGUAGGGAUUGAGCCAGAAUCUUCAUUGAUACUACUCGGGUUCUUAACCUACUGAGCCACAAUGGGAACUCCUCAAUAAACUUUUAAAUAUACAUCCUGGGAUUAGCUUUCUUUUUGUUUUCAAAUUUGUCCAAUCCAUGGAGUUAAAAAAAAUAGAAAACUUUUAGGGUUUCAUUUGAAUUGUUGCUCACAAGCUGGCCCAGUUUCUUAGUCUCUAUAUUAAAAAAAAAAUAGUGCCUACCAGAUUCCAGGCACUAUUCUCGGAGCUUUUCUCAUCUGUAAAUCAGAGUAAUAAUAGCACUUACUUAAUUCAUAAGUGUUGUCUUGAAGAUGACUUAUAGGCAUGUGUGUAGUAUCCUUAGGACAGAAGCUGGAAUAUAGUAAGUGCUCAGUAAUAUUAGACUUUGUGAUUGUCAUUAUUGAUAAUCUUGUCUGCUGAGAAAUAUGACCAACCACAGAAAUGCAGUGCUGCCCUUGCCAUUUAAAAUAGUGCUGUUCUGAAGAAUGUUUAUGAAAAUGUCACAAAUACUCUUUUCUUUCUAAAAAAUCUUAAAAUAACCUUUUUAUUUUAGGAUAAUUUCAGACUUAUAGGAAAGUUGCAAGAUAGUACAGAGAGUUCCCCUAUAUCCUUUUCCUGCCUCUCACUUACCAUGGUACAUUUAUCACCACAGAGGAGCCAACACUGGAACAUGACUGACUAUUAAUUAAUGCAACCCCAGACUUUCUCAUAUUUCAGUAAUGUCCUUUUUCGGUUCCAAGAUCCAAUGUGGGAUACCACAUUGCAUUUGGAAAUGCUCCCUUCUGCACUAAGCAGUCACUUCUAUUAGCCGUAUCUCUGCUCUGCGCAGAGGAAAUGCCACGGGGAGGCACCUGGCAUUCUCUAAUUCUGGCAUUUGCAGCUUGCUGCUCUUCACCCUUUCUCACCAGCCACUUUCUUACAUUCUGACAGAUCCAUAGGACUAGUCUGUAACUGUCAUUUACUAGCUGUGUGAUCUAAUUUAAUCUUCUAGGAAUCCUCAGUUUUUUCAUUUGUACAAUGGGGGUAAUGAUAAUUCCUAUAGGACCCAGGACAGAGUGACUCCUCCUCAAAAAAUGUUAAUUAUUUCUUUUAUUGUAUCAUUGUGCUUUCCUGUUCAGAUCACAAAUCAGCCUAACUCCUGAUUCUGUUAACACUUUUUCAAUCCUCUGAUGUUAUCGAAGGUGUUACUCAGGUUAUUAGAUGAGUUUGCUGACUCAGAGGCUGCUUAAUUGCCAGAGAAGUUUAAAUGUUUCUUUUUAAAUGCUUCGUUACUUUCCUUCCUUUAUAGAAAAUGUUGGGAUGUACAUAGUACAAUGAGAGAGAAUCUGAAAUACCAGAUUCCUAAGCUUUCUUCCAAAUCAUUUCCCACCCUUUAUUUUGGUCUGUCUUAUUCCUAGAACUCCCACCAUACUGCCUAAAAGAGGAGGAGGCCCACCCAUCCAUCUGCCAAGAGCGGGGAGGGAAGAGAACUAGCAGCUGGGGUCUAGGAAAAGGGAUUUUGAGUAUUCGAAUCAUUUUCAGUGGGAUGUGCUUGGGUCACAUGGUCUAAUCGGGAAAUUUUGUGCAAUCUGACAUUUCCCAUCAGAGUUGCUUAGGAACCUAAGGGAGGCUCUGACUCUGAAUGGCAGGACUGUAAUAAAUUAAGCAGUCCUGGGUCCAUCCAUCUGCUUUAAGUAAAUUAAGAGCAUAACCCAUAUGGGAUUUAUCUAAAAUAGCAAUUCACUUUUUUUUUCUCCUCUUCUCAUUUGUAUUCCUCCUUAUCUGCACUUUUUACAUUGGUUUAACUUUGCAUAGAAUAUUGCAGCUGUUUGUAUAUCCCAGCCUCUUCUCCCCAUUCAGGCAGCCAACCUCAGAGUCUGCUAUAGCCCACUAGUACCAUCCUCUUUAAUGGAGAGUGAUCUUGAUAUUUUAUUUUACCCAAUUGGAGGCAGAAGCAUUUUGACUCUGAUGUUUUUACCUAUGCCCCUGCAUUUCUGUCCUCUGCCCUUUCUCAUUUAUCACCUUUUUGUCCCUCUCCAUCUCAGUUCCCAUUGACUUCUCUGGUCAGAGUUUCCUCUCAUCCAUCUUUUUAUCAUGGUUUUAAUUUUUGUUCUUUGCCCACUAGUCAUCUUUAUAAACCAUUUUCAUUAUGCCAAUCUCUUGCUCAAAAUUCUGCCCUGUUUACAGGAUCAACCAAAUGUUUCUAUCUUAAAUUCCUCCCUCAAGUUCCAACCUGCUUUUCAACCUUAUCUACUUCUUAUGAGUUUUUACUCAUACUUCAGACAGUUUGCUCUCUUUACUUCUUCUAGAGCACAUCUACUUUGUCCUGCCUAAUUUGUUUUAGUAUUUUUAAAUUACAACCUGCUUUAUAUUUUUGUGUAAUCCUUGGAUGUUUCUAAUUAAAUUGUAAGCUCCUGCAAAGCAGUCUUAGACAUUUUUGUGGUCCCCAUUCCAUGCUUAUCACAAUUCUAGACACCUAGAGGUGUUUGCAUAAAUACUGAAUGAAUAGAUGCUUUGUCAUGGUUUUGUUUCAGUGGGGUCAGACAAACUGUUAAGACAAAUAAGUAAGAUGUAUAGUUGGUAAGUAGUUAGUAAGUUGGUAAGUAAGUAAGAUGUAUAGUUGCUAUGAAGAGAACUAAGUAGAGGGGGAAGGGGAUUGUAAAUAAGAUAGUCAGGAGAGGUUUCCUAGGAAAUAACCUUUAGAUAAAGAUGUCAUAGUGAUGGAGUUCCCGUCGUGGCUCAGUGGUUAGCGAAUCCGACUAGGAACCAUGAGGUUGCAGGUUCGAUCUCUGGCCUUGCUCAGUGGGUUAAGGAUCCGACGUUGCUGUGAGCUGUGGUGUAAGUUGCAGAUUCAGCUCGGAUCCCGCAUUACUGUGGCUCUGCUGUAGGCCGGUGGCUAUGGCUGUGAUUAGCCCCCUAGCCUGGAAACCUCCAUAUGCCAU
rnacentral:lncRNA from 1 species